AUUGAACGCUGGCGGAAUGCUUUACACAUGCAAGUCGAACGGCAGCACGGGAGCAAUCCUGGUGGCGAGUGGCGAACGGGUGAGUAAUAUAUCGGAACGUGCCCAGUCGUGGGGAUAACGUAGCGAAAGUUACGCUAAUACCGCAUACGAUCUACGGAUGAAAGCGGGGGAUCGCAAGACCUCGCGCGAGUGGAGCGGCCGAUGGCAGAUUAGGUAGUUGGUGAGGUAAAGGCUCACCAAGCCUGCGAUCUGUAACUGGUCUGAGAGGACGACCAGCCACACUGGAACUGAGACACGGUCCAGACUCCUACGGGAGGCAGCAGUGGGGAAUUUUGGACAAUGGGCGCAAGCCUGAUCCAGCAAUGCCGCGUGCAGGAUGAAGGCCUUCGG
rnacentral:rRNA from 1 species